UCUCGUAGGGGCAAGCGCUGGCUAUAUAAUAUCCACACGCAGUAGCCGUUCUAGGGUUUCUUGCGAUCUGGAUCUGGCCCUCAACCUGCUCUUCCUUGAUCGGCAAAUCGCAGAUCAUCUGGAUUUUUUCCCCUCACAUGUGUUCGAGUGUUUUUGUUUUUAUGUAGAGAUCUUGGUGAAGUCCCUUUUCACGAUCCAAGCGGUUCUCUGCGGUGUGGUUCUUCGGUGCUUUGCGGAUUAAAAGAUGGUUAUGGCUUCCGAUCAGUUUCUUGCGGCUGUUCCACCGAUUGGUUCGUUCUGUUCUUGCUGCCGAGGAAGCACUGCAGGCGCGGAAGCAGAUCUGCGGCUCGAAGUUCGGAUCGACGGGCGUUUUCGAUGCACAAACUCCAGUUGCCAGGAAAAUAGACGUUGUUUGCCUGAAUGAUUAAGUUCUUGCUCAGAACUUACCAGUUGUAAAGGAGUGGAUGCCUCUUGGGGAUCAGAACAAGACGGAUGGGCUGGGUUCUUGAUGAUAGACUGGGAAGCAAUAUCCCGAUUCAACCGCUGCAUAUUCAAUUGUCCAUCCUACGCAUCCAUUCCAAGUGGUGAAAUCAUGGGGUCCCCAGCAAUUUGAACCAUCUUUCUGAAAUGAUAAGGUACAAUUCUUAUAAAGACUCAGUAGCUCAGUUUGGUAUUUGCUUAACAUGAUUAGUGGAUUAAUUCUUUAGUGAUAUGAGACAGACGUAUCCAUGUUAAUUUCGUCACAAUCUGACUGAAGAGGAGCAAGUUUUUUUUGAUAAAAAGCAACGUGAGUGAAAGAAAAAUAGAAUUCUAUGAAUCUUUAUUCAUUUUAGGGUGCAUUGGAUAGAAUGAAAUGAAAUGGUUCAUUUACUGUAAUUUAUUAAUUAUUCCACUACAUUCAAGUAUAUCACAAUGUCAAGUUAUCAUUUCAAAACUAAAUGUAGAUAAAUUAUAUGAGUGACUUGGACUGAUUUGACCAUCGAUAUUGGGUCAAUCCUAUCUAGUAAGACAAUCUGGCUGGCUAAUUCAAUUGAGUGAGCUUGAUGGUCAGUUCCUUGGACUCGACAUGUUGGUUGGUUUGAUCUGAUGGAUCAACCAAGCUUGGCAUGCCAGAAAGACAAGUAACUCUGGCACAUUGAACUUAUCAAACUCAAGUAAUAUUGACAAUGCAUGAUUAAAACAAAAUAAUGAAUACAAAUUGAUUAUACCUCUUAAUUUCAUUCCAUUCCUUUAGUUUUAUUCUAAUUAUAUUUCAUUCGAUUAUACUCUAUUAAAUUUACUCAUUACUUGGGUACAUACAUUACAAUUUUGGUUCAUUAUUUUGCAGAUUGAUUCAUUUAAGAACUAAAGAUUAUCAAAUUUGCAUACUUUUUUUUUUUGAACGUACAUAUCACUGGUAUUGAUAGAUGUGGUUCCUCUUUCGUAAUCCACAGCGUGCGACUUAAUCAUUGUAAAUAGUUUAUCAAAUACAGUAAAUUGCAAAGUUUUUAUGGUCACUAAUAAUUGAUAGCAAAUGGUACCUUACAUCAAAUUGUUAUAACUAGCAUGAAAUGUUUAAUAUGGAUCAUUAUCUUAAGAAGUAAUUUUUCAAAUGGCAAUCAAGUUUUUGUUUCUUAAAAAUAAUUUUUUGUAGUUAAUAUCCCUCCAUUACUGCCAUAUCAUCAUAUACAGUUGGUAAAACUUAACCAAGGCUAAAUAUGUUGAAACAAUUACAUUUAUGGGUUCAAAUAUAUUCUCAAGUUCAUGAUUGAUGUUGUGAUUGCUUAAAAUUUUACUGUCAUAUCUUCUGUUCACUUCUACAAUUUUUCUGCGGGCUGUUGCUGUUUCCCAUUUAAUCUUAUAGAACAGUUGUAAAUUGGGGUCUGGUUGGGUGAUGGGUUUGUUGGGAAAAAUGUGUAAACAUGAUUGGGGUAAUUGUGAAUGUAAAAUCAUGUAGUAGAAAAGGCUCUUAUGCUCUACUCGUUACAUGGCUUACAACAGUCUUGAGAGUUCCUGACAACGGGGGUAAAGAUUUUGCAGCUGAAGCUCUAUAGAAGUUUGUCGAUUGUAUUCAAUUUUAAACAUGCUGCUGCCUAAGAUUGUCUGUAGCUCUGUCAAUUGCUGUCUAGUGCUGUCAAUUGAACUCGGGGCGCAUGUAAAAUAUCUGGAAAAGACUUGGAAGCAUCUCGCCAUGCAUUUUGGUGGAAUCAAUUCUCGGUUCAAGAUUCGGACUACUUUUGUAGAGAUUUACAUUUGAAAGUUUUUCUCAUGUAUAUAUCUCAUUUUGGAUGGAUUUCUAGCUUUAACUAUGGGUAUAUUUCCUUGUAGGCCUGGAUUUGUUGGUACCUGAAGCUUAAAAUUUCGUUGCUACAUCUGACCGAAAUUGAGAUACAUUCAUGGAGCGAAAAUUUGGGCGUAUUAUGACUUGUUUUGAGCACUCUUAUUUGAUGUCAAGUUCUGAAGACUCCUGUAAGAACAAAUUUGAAUUUGUAAGCCUUUUUUUUGGACUCAGUUCUUGAUUCCUAUUUUGCAGAAGUCAAAUUCAUCAAACGCUUACAAAUUUAACUAUUCAGUUCUUGAUUCCUUUUUUGGUGAUUGCAACUUUAACUAUAUCAUUACCUGAUGACUUCGACAACCAUUUUAAAUUGACUUAGACGUUUUUAUUUUAUUUGCUGUGAAAAAUAGUUUUUUAAUUGCUAAUUUUUAUUACAGCAUCUGUGUCCUUGCCUAGUGAUAUAUAUAUCUAUUUCGUUUCGCCUUUCAGAUGGUAACAGUUCUAUGGAAAUUGUUGUUUAAACUUUUUUAACCUUGCACAUUAGUAUCCGUGGCUCUGAAUUUGAAGGUAGGAGUAUACAGUGAAUCUUUGUGUAAGGAUAUAUAUAUCUUUUUGUGUAAGGAUGAUUGUUUUUCACAUAACA